GAGGUGUUGAUGGUUGUGUUGUAACAUGGUCCUAUAUGGGGUCUCUAGGUGGUGUUGAUGGUUGUGUUGUAACAUGGUCCUAUAUGGGGUCUCUAGGUGGUGUUGAUGGUUGUGUUGUAACAUGGUCCUAUAUGGGGUCUCUAGGAGGUGUUGAUGGUUGUGUUGUAACAUGGUCCUAUAUGGGGUCUCUAGGUGUUGAUGGUUGUGUUGUAACAUGGUCCUAUAUGGGGUCUCUAGGAGGUGUUGAUGGUUGUGUUAUAACAUGGUCCUAUAUGGGGUCUCUAGGUGUUGAUGGUUGUGUUAUAACAUGGUCCUAUAUGGGGUCUCUAG
ensembl:lncRNA